rnacentral:rRNA from 1 species
GAUGAACGCUGGCGGCGUGCCUAAUACAUGCAAGUCGAGCGAACCACUUCGGUGGUGAGCGGCGAACGGGUGAGUAACACGUAGGUGAUCUGCCCAUCAGACGGGGACAACGAUUGGAAACGAUCGCUAAUACCGGAUAGGACGAAAGUUUAAAGGUGCUUCUGGCACCGCUGAUGGAUGAGCCUGCGGCGCAUUAGCUAGUUGGUAGGGUAAAGGCUUACCAAGGCGACGAUGCGUAGCCGACCUGAGAGGGUGAACGGCCACACUGGGACUGAGACACGGCCCAGACUCCUACGGGAGGCAGCAGUAGGGAAUCUUCGGCAAUGGGCGAAAGCCUGACCGAGCAACGCCGCGUGAAUGAUGAAGGCCUUCGGGUUGUAAAAUUCUGUUAUAAGGGAAGGACGACUUUAGUAGGAAAUGGCUAGAGUGUGACGGUACCUUAUGAGAAAGCCACGGCUAACUACGUGCCAGCAGCCGCCGUAA